ACCAGCUCCUUACACUCCAUUGCCUUUGAUGGAAAAAGGAUUGCUCACUUCUCAUGCCUGUGGUUCCCUGUAUUUCUGACAAAGCUUUGUGAUUGCCUUCUCAGAGAGCUUCUGCCAUGCAAGACAGCCUAACCGUGGUGGAGUACCCUGUUGAGGAGUAAGUAAGCAGGCAGAGUCAUUGUCCUCAGUCCAGCUUCUGUCACACCCAGAAUUGUGCCUUUGUCCAGCAAACAACCUCAACAGACUGGGAGAGAAAACUGAAAGUGAAUUUUUGGCAAUGUGGGAAACCCUAGACUCUUUCCUUUUAUACAGUAUGCUAUGGUCAGACUUCAUCUUGAGGAAAUGA
rnacentral:lncRNA from 1 species